GACGAACGCUGGCGGCGUGCUUAACACAUGCAAGUCGAACGGAAAGGCCCUGCUUUUGUGGGGUGCUCGAGUGGCGAACGGGUGAGUAACACGUGAGUAACCUGCCCUUGACUUUGGGAUAACUUCAGGAAACUGGGGCUAAUACCGGAUAGGAGCUCCUGCUGCAUGGUGGGGGUUGGAAAGUUUCGGCGGUUGGGGAUGGACUCGCGGCUUAUCAGCUUGUUGGUGGGGUAGUGGCUUACCAAGGCUUUGACGGGUAGCCGGCCUGAGUGGGUGACCGGGCACAUUGGGACUGAGAUACGGCCCAGACUCCUACGGGAGGCAGCAGUGGGGAAUAUUGCACAAUGGGCGGAAGCCUGAUGCAGCAACGCCGCGUGCGGGAUGACGGCCUUCGGGUUGUAAACCGCUUUCGCCUGUGACGAAGCGUGAGUGACGGUAAUGGGUAAAGAAGCACCGGCUAACUACGUG
rnacentral:rRNA from 1 species